GUAUUGGCUGGUCCCAAGGGAAUAAAGGUUUUGACAGUUCUUCUUGAUCCCUCUAAAUGUAGCCUUGUCUCGUUAUUGGAGGGAGCUGUUAUAAUCACACUGGGGAUUGCUAUGCUCUGCAUGCUCCCCUGAGCUUGAGUCACUUAGCUCUUUUAAGAGCUUGUUCCUGACACGCUCUCCUUGGAGGAGGGGUCUUCAUCACACAGUCCUGGAUGCUGGAGGUUCAUACAGGGUGGAAGGAAGAGUUCUUUCCCACACAGUCCUGGAGAACAGAAGCUGAUCCAGGGUGGAAGGAAGACGGCGAGACUCCAGUCAAGAUACGGCGCUUGCGGAGUCUGCGGUGGUUGUGGUGUCUGCUGCAGCGCUUGGAGUCCUCAGGAAGCGCUAGGAGCAUCCAUCAACGGAGGGUACUCGGUCGGAGUACAGGGAGCUCCGUUACAACACUUUUCCAGUCAUUAUGCGACCUAUUAGACUCCAAACCUUUCCA